rnacentral:rRNA from 1 species
GGCUAAUACCGCAUACGUCCUACGGGAGAAAGCAGGGGAUCUUCGGACCUUGCGCUAUCGGAUGAGUCUAUGUCGGAUUAGCUUGUUGGUGAGGUAAUGGCUCACCAAGGCGACGAUCCGUAGCUGGUCUGAGAGGAUGAUCAGCCACAUCGGGACUGAGACACGGCCCGAACUCCUACGGGAGGCAGCAGUGGGGAAUAUUGGACAAUGGGCGAAAGCCUGAUCCAGCCAUGCCGCGUGUGUGAAGAAGGCCUUCGGGUUGUAAAGCACUUUCAGUGGGGAAGAAAGCCUUGGGGCUAAUACCCUCGAGGAAGGACAUCACCCACAGAAGAAGCACCGGCUAACUCCGUGCCAGCAGCCGCGGUAAUACGGAGGGUGCGAGCGUUAAUCGGAAUUACUGGGCGUAAAGCGCGCAUAGGCGGUCUGAUAAGCCGGUUGUGAAAGCCCCGGGCUCAACCUGGGAACGGCAUCCGGAACUGUCAGGCUAGAGUGCAGGAGAGGAAGGUAGAAUUCCCGGUGUAGCGGUGAAAUGCGUAGAGAUCGGGAGGAAUACCAGUGGCGAAGGCGGCCUUCUGGACUGACACUGACGCUGAGGUGCGAAAGCGUGGGUAGCAAACAGGAUUAGAUACCCUGGUAGUCCACGCCGUAAACGAUGUCGAC